rnacentral:misc_RNA from 1 species
CUGAAGGUUACAACACCUAAACCACUGUGAACCGUUCCGUCAGCUGCCUCGGCGGGCAAUCCCAGGGCGGGAUUCUAGGCUCCUCGGGGGCGUUCGCCGGCGCGCAACUCUUCUAGCUCUGUUUUGCAGCGGGCUUCUGAGUGAUUGAGAAAACAAGUCA